rnacentral:pre_miRNA from 16 species
GAAAAAAAACGAGAUCAAACGGUAUUCUUUGGUUAAUAAUAAAGAUGAGCAACACGAGUCUCGGUCUAUUAUUGCUCGAGAAUACCCUUUGACGGAAUGUCGGGAU